rnacentral:ribozyme from 2 species
CUCACAACUCCGCCUGCAGCCCCUCCGUGGGCUACUGCCGGUCCCAAGCCCGGAUAAAGGAGGAGGGUUGAG